rnacentral:rRNA from 1 species
CCGGCACGGGUGAGUAACACGUAUCCAACCUGCCGUCUACUCUUGGACAGCCUUCUGAAAGGAAGAUUAAUACAAGAUGGCAUCAUGAGUUCACAUGUUCACAUGAUUAAAGGUAUUCCGGUAGACGAUGGGGAUGCGUCCCAUUAGAUAGUAGGCGGGGUAACGGCCCACCUAGUCUUCGAUGGAUAGGGGUUCUGAGAGGAAGGUCCCCCACAUUGGAACUGAGACACGGUCCAA